rnacentral:miRNA from 1 species
AAAUAAAUACAUAAACAAAAGUCCUAAGAAAAAGAAAAAUGAACAGAAGAGGUAUCCAUUUGUCCAAUGAGCUUUUAGAUCCUUUUUCUUUUUCUUAGGACUUUUGUUUAUGUAU